CGGAGGAUCCAAGCGUUAUCCGGAUUCAUUGGGUUUAAAGGGUGCGUAGGCGGAAUGAUAAGUCAGUGGUGAAAUCCCUUCGCUUAACGAAGGAACUGCCAUUGAUACUGUCAAUCUUGAGUACAUUUGAUGUGGGCGGAAUGUGUCAUGUAGCGGUGAAAUGCUUAGAUAUGACACAGAACACCGAUUGCGAAGGCAGCUCACAAAACUGUAACUGACGCUGAGGCACGAAAGCGUGGGUAUCAAACAGGAUUAGAUACCCUGGUAGUCCACGCUGUAAACCAUGAUUACUCGAUGUUUGCGAUACACUGUAAGCGUCUAAGCGAAAGCGAUAAGUAAUCCACCUGGGGAGUACGCUCGCAAGAGUG
rnacentral:rRNA from 1 species